UACGUAGGGUGCGAGCGUUAAUCGGAAUUACUGGGCGUAAAGCGUGCGCAGGCGGUUUUGUAAGUCAGGUGUGAAAUCCCCGGGCUCAACCUGGGAAUGGCAUUUGGGACUGCAAGGCUGGAGUGCGGCAGAGGAGACUGGAAUUCCUGGUGUAGCAGUGAAAUGCGUAGAUAUCAGGAGGAACACCGAUGGCGAAGGCAGGUCUCUGGGCUGACACUGACGCUCAUGCACGAAAGCGUGGGGAGCAAACAGG
rnacentral:rRNA from 1 species